UCCGGGGUAGUGUAGCUGGUAGCACACGAGACUUUGGAUCUUGUAUCGCACGUUCGACCCGUGCCCCCGGAGCCA
rnacentral:tRNA from 1 species